GAUUAAGUUAUUAAGGGCGCACGGUGGAUGCCUUGGCACUAGAAGCCGAUGAAGGACGUUACUAACGACGAUAUGCUUUGGGGAGCUGUAAGUAAGCUUUGAUCCAGAGAUUUCCGAAUGGGGAAACCCAGCAUGAGUUAUGUCAUGUUAUCGAUAUGUGAAUACAUAGCAUAUCAGAAGGCACACCCGGAGAACUGAAACAUCUUAGUACCCGGAGGAAGAGAAAGAAAAUUCGAUUCCCUUAGUAGCGGCGAGCGAAACGGGAAGAGCCCAAACCAACAAGCUUGCUUGUUGGGGUUGUAGGACACUCUAUACGGAGUUACAAAGGACGACAUUAGACGAAUCAUCUGGAAAGAUGAAUCAAAGAAGGUAAUAAUCCUGUAGUCGAAAAUGUUGUCUCUCUUGAGUGGAUCCUGAGUACGACGGAGCACGUGAAAUUCCGUCGGAAUCUGGGAGGACCAUCUCCUAAGGCUAAAUACUCUCUAGUGACCGAUAGUGAACCAGUACCGUGAGGGAAAGGUGAAAAGCACCCCGGAAGGGGAGUGAAAUAGAACCUGAAACCGUGUGCUUACAAGUAGUCAGAGCCCGUUAAUGGGUGAUGGCGUGCCUUUUGUAGAAUGAACCGGCGAGUUACGAUUUGAUGCAAGGUUAAGCAGUAAAUGUGGAGCCGUAGCGAAAGCGAGUCUGAAUAGGGCGUUUAGUAUUUGGUCGUAGACCCGAAACCAGGUGAUCUACCCUUGGUCAGGUUGAAGUUCAGGUAACACUGAAUGGAGGACCGAACCGACUUACGUUGAAAAGUGAGCGGAUGAACUGAGGGUAGCGGAGAAAUUCCAAUCGAACCUGGAGAUAGCUGGUUCUCUCCGA
rnacentral:rRNA from 1 species